GACGAACGCUGGCGGCGUGCUUAACACAUGCAAGUCGAGCGGAAAGGCCCCUUCGGGGGUACUCGAGUGGCGAACGGGUGAGUAACACGUGAGUAACCUGCCCUUGACUUCGGGAUAACUUCAGGAAACUGGGGCUAAUACCGGAUAGGAAUCCUUGCUGCAUGGUGGGGGUUGGAAAGCUUCGGCGGUUUUGGAUGGACUCGCGGCUUAUCAGCUUGUUGGUGGGGUAGUGGCUUACCAAGGCUUUGACGGGUAGCCGGCCUGAGAGGGCGACCGGCCACAUUGGGACUGAGAUACGGCCCAGACUCCUACGGGAGGCAGCAGUGGGGAAUAUUGCACAAUGGGCGGAAGCCUGAUGCAGCAACGCCGCGUGCGGGAUGACGGCCUUCGGGUUGUAAACCGCUUUCAGCAGGGGCGAAGCUUGUGGUGACGGUACCUGCAGAAGAAGCACCGGCUAACUACGUG
rnacentral:rRNA from 1 species